UCUGAGGACUAAAGAUCUCUGGUAUCUGUCCAUAUUGCAGUUCUGUGAUAGCAGCCUACCACUAAACAAACUCCUCUGAUUAAUUAUGGUGGUGUAUAGUGGGUGAUGUUCAUUGUCCAUAACAGAGAGCAGCUUGCACAGUGUCCUUCUCUCUGCCACUGUCACCAGAGAGUCCAUUUCCAUGCCAGCCACAGAUCCUGCUCACCUGAUCAGCUUGUCAAUACACUCACCAUCUCUCUUCUUCAAGCUACCCCACUUGCUCACUAAAUAUACAGUGAUAGAUAAUUACAACGGUGAACAGAUAUAAUGGACGUAAUUAAGGACAACACAUGUAAUCCAAACAGACAAUUUUGGUCAGCUGAUAUGGUGACUGGAGGACAGACCUGCACAAGUUGCUUUGUAAUGUCGGGGCACCAACUGGGUGUCCCCCUUUAAUGAAGUCAAAUGAAACAAAACAAAAGUGGACACGAUGGCCCCAACAAAACACACCUUUUCAGCCCAAUAGACAAAUUUACUUUGCAGUUGUUUCAACAUGAUGGCACUUGCUUCAUGUUGAGUUUCCAGGUCCAACAGCAGACUCCAUCCUCUGGGGGGUCGGCAGCUUUUCAAGAGUCCCACCCAAAAGGACAGGGGCAGCUCUGGGCACUGCGGCUGAGUCAGUUCCCCUCAUUUGGUUUCUUUUCAGAGCUGCAGGUGGAUAAGGAGAGACAGUCAGUGUGAGCGCCCCCUCUCGUCUCAGAGUGGCAUCACUUACCUCACAGAGACAAGAAGGUCAUCUCCAGGUGGGCACACAUGUGUGACAAUACAUAGAACUGGCCUGCUCAUUUGUUUGCACUGCUUGUAUUGUUGUAUUCAGUAGCACUUUGAGAAUUGAUUCUCAUUUCAUGUUCAUUUGUACUUCAUUUUUGUUCAUCUUUGUAUUAACAUGGAGUUGAUAGUUUGAAAAUAUAACAAUAAAUGUAAUAAAUGAUCCCUGUAAAUUUAAGAAAUGGCUAAUGUAAAUUUGGUAUAAAACACAUUAUGACUUCUUUGGGACUUGAAAUUUAAGACUUGAAUCAAAACCUGCCCGACUUGACUCGGGACUUGGAAGUGAAGAGGAGAAGAAAAAGGAGAAGAAGUGAGAGCUGGAAAUAAAUAGAAGGAGAGCAGUGACAGGGCGUCACCACCAGAGGGCAGAGCUGAGCAGAGCAGAGGACUUGGGGACCUGCAGGUUUGGUGACGUCUGUGUGACUGAUGGCCUUUGAUGUGCACUCAUAAUUUGAACCCAAGUCCAUUGACUUUAACAUUUUUAACAUUUUGUUUGAAUAUUUCUGAUACUAUUAAUAAAAGCUUGUAAAGACCCCACCAUCUUUAGUUCCCCCCUUACUGUCCACUGGCCUGUCCUGACUUUUAUAAACAGACGUCACUGAAAAGGCAGGACAUAAAGAAAUGAGCUGCUGUUGUGACAAAUUCAAACUGUGAUGACACAAACAUGUCACUCUUGUGACCCCCACACGUCCUGUGAAGUCAGCUGAUAAAGUGCUGUGGAUUUCCUUUGUCGUCAUUUUGAUCAAAUCACUUAUGGGCAGAGCUGGGAAUGGACAGCAGUGGUCAGCAGUCAUGGGGGUCUCUUAACAGUCCACUCAGACCACCUUUGUGCCCACUGGACUGGACUUUGUGAUGCUGACAGUCCAUUUGAAGCUCGUCCUCCUGGUUUAUUACAAAUUAGUAGAAGGAAUAAGAAAACUGAGCUCAGAACCACUGAGGUGUUUAGUGGACAAAGGUCAGCUGGUCAGUGUCACCGGUCAGUAUGUGAGGUCUGAAUGUUCGAGGAUAGAAGUGUCACAUGUCAGUCUUGUCCUCCAUGUCCAUCAUGUCAUCACUCCUAAAGUCAGGCCCAGUGUUUGUCCUUUUAAAACCCACAGAGUCUCAUCGUCAUCAUCUAAUUACUGUGACACGAGGAGAGUCCAUCGUGACAAACAGCUGAGUGUUAAACUCUGCAGUGAGCAGAAUGUCUAACAGUUGUCUUUUCACGAUGUCCUAUAAAUCAGACAAAAUGUCUACACAUCCUGAGUCCUGAAUGACACAAAGAAAUCCCACUUUGUCACCUUCUACAAGUCCAUGUGGCCUCUCAAGUGCAGGACGUUGUCAGUCUCAUUUCUUUGAGGCUCAUCUCCAAUAUUAAUGAUGUCCGUGUGUCCAUUUCAAUGACUUCUCACCUGUCAGUACAGCAUGAAGGCAAGAGGCCCUCUCAGGUGUUUAGUGUCUUACUUAUAAGAACAUCGGUGGUCUUGGGUUCAAACAGGCUCAGUAAAAAGUAAAAAUGCCAGCAGUCAUUGAGCCUUUGAGCUCUGAGGCCUUUUUUCUGUCUGUCUGUCCCUCCUCAUGUCCUCACUUCUCUUUUUUUCUUUCUUUCACAGCCUGGCUGAUUGUGGUCUGACAUCCAGGUCUUCCUCAUCUCUUUCCUCAGUCCUCUCUUCUCCACACUCACAGCUGACUGAACUGAACCUGAACGGAAACAAGCUGGGAGAUUCAGGAGCUCAUCAGCUGUGUGAGGAUCUGCAGACCUUAAACUGUAAUUUAAAGACACUUUGGCUGGGUGGUAAUGAGAUCAACGAGAGUGAGAAGAAGAACCUGAGGUCACUACAGGAGGAGCUGAACAGGACUGGACGGCAGGUGAAUGUCAACCUAUGAGAAGACUGAACAUGCUGAUCAGCUGACCCCAGUGACGGUGCCCCCUGUCCACUCUCUCUGAAUUCUCCUCUUUAUUCUUUGAUAAUCCCCUCAACUCUCCUACACAUUUAAAGGACUGCUGGAGACCCAGCAAGCGAGCCGGAGUCGGGAGGAGUGUGACAGAGCUUGCUGGGAGGUGUGGAUGAGAGAUUUGUAUUAAUAAUUAUUGAUUUAUUGUUAUUGAUGCUUCAUGCCUGUUUAUUGGUUGCUGUAGUGAGUGAAGGGCUUCAAUUAAAAGAAAAUAUUAAACAACA